ACAUACGACCAUAGGUACUAGAAAGCUCGGGAUCCCGUCCGCUCUCCCAUAGAUAAACUGGUGACCGCCGGAUUAGUAGUUGGGUCGGUGACGACCAGCGAAUACCUGGUGUUGUAUGUU
rnacentral:rRNA from 1 species